CCUACGGGAGGCUGCAGUGAGGAAUAUUGGUCAAUGGACGAGAGUCUGAACCAGCCAAGUAGCGUGAAGGAUGACUGCCCUAUGGGUUGUAAACUUCUUUUAUAUGGGAAUAAAACGUUCCACGUGUGGGAUUUUGUAUGUACCAUAUGAAUAAGGAUCGGCUAACUCCGUGCCAGCAGCCGCGGUAAUACGGAGGAUCCGAGCGUUAUCCGGAUUUAUUGGGUUUAAAGGGAGCGUAGGUGGAUUGUUAAGUCAGUUGUGAAAGUUUGCGGCUCAACCGUAAAAUUGCAGUUGAAACUGGCAGUCUUGAGUACAGUAGAGGUGUGCGGAAUUCGUGGUGUAGCGGUGAAAUGCUUAGAUAUCACGAAGAACUCCGAUUGCGAAGGCAGUUCACUGGACUGCAACUGACACUGAGGCUCGAAAGUGUGGGUAUCAAACAGGAUUAGAUACCCUGGUAGUC
rnacentral:rRNA from 1 species